UGGAGCCAUCCUUGAAAUACCACCCUUUAAUGGCUGGUGUUCUAACGUGGGCCCGUUAUCCGGGUUGCGGACAGUGUCUGGUGGGUAGUUUGACUGGGGCGGUCUCCUCCUAAAGAGUAACGGAGGAGCACGAAGGUCAGCUAAUCCUGGUCGGACAUCAGGAGGUUAGUGCAAUGGCAUAAGCUGGCUUGACUGCGAGCGUGACGGCGCGAGCAGGUGCGAAAGCAGGUCAUAGUGAUCCGGUGGUUCUGAAUGGAAGGGCCAUCGCUCAACGGAUAAAAGGUACUCCGGGGAUAACAGGCUGAUACCGCCCAAGAGUUCAUAUCGACGGCGGUGUUUGGCACCUCGAUGUCGGCUCAUCACAUCCUGGGGCUGAAGUAGGUCCCAAGGGUAUGGCUGUUCGCCAUUUAAAGUGGUACGCGAGCUGGGUUUAGAACGUCGUGAGACAGUUCGGUCCCUAUCUGCCGUGGGCGCUGGAGAAUUGAGGGGGGCUGCUCCUAGUACGAGAGGACCGGAGUGGACGCAUCACUGGUGUUCGGGUUGUCAUGCCAAUGGCAUUGCCCGGUAGCUAAAUGCGGAAGAGAUAAGUGCUGAAAGCAUCUAAGCACGAAACUUGCCCCGAGAUGAGUUCUCCCUGACUCCUUGAGAGUCCUGAAGGAACGUUGAAGACGACGACGUUGAUAGGCCGGGUGUGUAAGCGCAGCGAUGCGUUGAGCUAACCGGUACUAAUGAACCGUGAGGCUUAACCUU
rnacentral:rRNA from 1 species